GUACUUGCUUCAGCACUACAUAUAUUAAAAUUGAAGCAAUAGAAGAUUAGCAUGGUCCCUGAGCAAGGAGGGCAUGUACAUUCAUGAAGCACUUCAUAUUUUG
rfam:Tyto alba contig143507, whole genome shotgun sequence.